rnacentral:rRNA from 1 species
UACGAGGGGGGCGAGCGUUGUUCGGAAUUAUUGGGCGUAAAGAGCUCGUAGGCGGCCUGUUGCGUCCGCUGUGAAAGCCCGGGGCUUAACCCCGGGUCGGCAGUGGAUACGGGCAGGCUAGAGGUAGGUAGGGGAGAAUGGAAUUCCCGGUGUAGCGGUGAAAUGCGCAGAUAUCCGCAGGAACAUCCGAGGCGAAAGCGGCUCGCUGGAUCACAACUGACGCUGAGGGACGAAAGCUAGGGGAGCAAACAGG